rnacentral:rRNA from 1 species
CCUACGGGGGGCAGCAGUGAGGAAUAUUGGUCAAUGGACGGAAGUCUGAACCAGCCAUGCCGCGUGCAGGAUGACGGCUCUAUGAGUUGUAAACUGCUUUUGUACGAGAAUAAUAGUUCUUACGUGUAGGGAUUUGAAUGUAUCGUACGAAUAAGGAUCGGCUAACUCCGUGCCAGCAGCCGCGGUAAUACGGAGGAUUCGAGCGUUAUCCGGAUUUAUUGGGUUUAAAGGGUGCGUAGGCUGUUGGAUAAGUUAGAGGUCAAAUGUCGGGGCUUAACCCCGUGCCUGCCUCUGAUACUGUUCGA